UACGUAUGGUGCAAGCGUUAUCCGGAUUUACUGGGUGUAAAGGGAGCGCAGGCGGCACGGCAAGCCUGAUGUGAAAGCCCGCGGCCCAACCGCGGGACUGCAUUGGGAACUACCGGGCUGGAGUGCCGGAGAGGUAGGCGGAAUUCCUAGUGUAGCGGUGAAAUGCGUAGAUAUUAGGAGGAACACCGGUGGCGAAGGCGGCUUACUGGACUGUAACUGACGUUGAGGCUCGAAAGCGUGGGGAGCAAACAGG
rnacentral:rRNA from 1 species